CUUCCUCCCUCACAUCUUCAACAGGCUUCCGGGGCGUGGGGAAAUGCCAGUGUGUGCAAGUUUCUAUGGCAGUGUCCUGACCUGAAUGUCGCUAAAAGAAUUGCUAAGUGGUCUCUCGUAGGAGUGGAGCUGAUUUCCCCAGAGCUGCCCCUCUCAGUGUGGUCCACUGUGAAAACACAGUGAGAGCUAAUUGUUUUCUGACAGAUUUAUAAUUCCACUAAAUCAAUGCCACCAUUUAGACCAGAUGGAAAGCUGUGGACCAGACUGGCGAAAAGAAAUACGGGCUUCCACUUUUCCUUUUCCCUUCUUUUAGAGGACAAGUAGCCAUGGAGGGAGUCACAGAGAUUGGAUCUCACUCAGUUGCCCAGGCUGGAGUAUAGUGAUGUGAUAACAGCUCACUGAAGCAGCCUCGACCACCCGCCCAGACUCAAGUGAUCAUCCCACCUUGGUUUCUUGACUAGCUGGAGCACCACUGCCCUGGCUACUUUUUUGUAUUUUUGUGUUUUUUGUAUGGACAGGGUUUCACCAUGUUGUCCAAGCUGAUCUUGAACUUCUGUGCUCGUGUGAGCUGCCUGCUUCGGCCUACCAAAAUGCUGAGAUUACAGGUAUGAGCUACUA